rnacentral:tRNA from 1 species
GACCUGGGGCGGGAAUCGAACCCACAACCUUCUGCUUACCGGGCAGGUGCCAUGUCCACUAGGCUACCCUGGA